rnacentral:rRNA from 1 species
AACGAACGCUGGCGGCAGGCUUAACACAUGCAAGUCGAGCGCCCCGCAAGGGGAGCGGCAGACGGGUGAGUAACGCGUGGGAACGUACCUUUUGGUUCGGAACAACUCCGGGAAACUGGAGCUAAUACCGGAUAAGCCCUAACGGGGAAAGAUUUAUCGCCGAAAGAUCGGCCCGCGUCUGAUUAGCUAGUUGGUGAGGUAACGGCGCACCAAGGCGACGAUCAGUAGCUGGUCUGAGAGGAUGAGCAGCCACACUGGGACUGAGACACGGCCCAGACUCCUACGGGAGGCAGCAGUGGGGAAUAUUGGACAAUGGGCGCAAGCCUGAUCCAGCCAUGCCGCGUGAGUGAUGAAGGCCUUAGGGUUGUAAAGCUCUUUUGUCCGGGAAGAUAAUGACUGUACCGGAAGAAUAAGCCCCGGCUAACUUCGUG